rnacentral:rRNA from 1 species
ACGAACGCUGGCGGCGUGCUUAACACAUGCAAGUCGAACGGAAAGGCCCCUUUGGGGGUCCUCGAGUGGCGACCGGGUGAGUAACACGUGAGUAACCUGCCCUUGACUUCGGGAUAACUUCAGGAAACUGGGGCUAAUACCGGAUAGGAAUCCUUGCUGCAUGGUGGGGGUUGGAAAGCUUCGGCGGUUUUGGAUGGACUCGCGGCUUAUCAGCUUGUUGGUGGGGUAGUGGCUUACCAAGGCUUUGACGGGUAGCCGGCCUGAGAGGGCGACCGGCCACAUUGGGACUGAGAUACGGCCCAGACUCCUACGGGAGGCAGCAGUGGGGAAUAUUGCACAAUGGGCGGAAGCCUGAUGCAGCAACGCCGCGUGCGGGAUGACGGCCUUCGGGUUGUAAACCGCUUUCAGCAGGGGCGAAGCUUGUGGUGACGGUACCUGCAGAAGAAGCACCGGCUAACUACGUG